rnacentral:rRNA from 1 species
GACAGAGGUGCCGAGCGUUAGGCGGAAUCACUGGGCUUAAAGCGUGUGUAGGCGGAUGCCUAAGUACCUUGUGAAAUCCCACGGCUUAACCGUGGAACUGCUUGGUAUACUGGGUGUCUUGAGCCACUUAGGGGCGACCGGAACAAACGGUGGAGCGGUGAAAUGCGUAGAUAUCGUUUGGAACGCCAAUGGUGAAACAGGUCGCUGGGAGUGUGCUGACGCUGAGACACGAAAGCCAGGGGAGCGAACGGG